AGCCACAGCUGGGCUGUGACGAGUCACAUGCGUGUGAUGGAAUUAGACCUGUUCCCAGUUUACUUUUUAAUGCAAUUUCACCAGAAAGGAGUAUUUAAAGGCUUCAAGCUUGUCUACUCAUGAGGAAACUCACUGUAAGGAACAGGCAUUCCUCCCCCAGUAACUGCUGAAAGAGAGACCCAGGUAAUGACAGUGAGAUGGGGUGAUGCCUCUGGGAGGAGGACGUGUGUUCCUGAUGCUGAGAUCCCUGCCCUGGCACUCCCUGCUUCGGAUGGUAUCCAGACCCACCUGCAAGAUCUUCAUAUUUAAAGCACAAAGACACUUAAGGAGUGACAUAUGAAGAAGUAUUUUGAGAGCUAAACCGGGGAUGGUCAGACUUCAGAUUCCUGCGCUGCAACCCCCUGAUCCAAAGCAUCCCAUCCGGCAGUGUCUUGCGGCUGGCGUUAUCCGGCAUGUCGUGGGCGGGUAGUGGAGAAAUGGAAUGGGCUGAUCUACAUCCUUAAAACCAUCCGGAGGUCUGUACAGAUAUUUCUUUCUGUGAAGUAAUAGGAAGAACCAGAGAAAAUGAGACCAUUUGUGGAAAUGAGCAUGGGCUUCAUCCUCGAGGGUCUACAGUGUCCUGGUACUAAAAUUAUACACUGAAAAACAAAGGUUGAAAACCACCCAGUGUCUGAUUGGAACCCACAGGAGGCAGGAAGGGAGCCCAGGUUAAUGACCCUCUCCACUAUUACAACUUCCAAAUGCGAUUCUGAGUGUUAUUGCAACACGUACCGCGCGCCAGAGAGCAAACGUUACCUCAUCCCUUGGCACGGGGCACCUCACCUGGCCAAGGCACACUCGCUAAGGAUCAGAAUACGGCCGAUGCUGCGGGAGGCGAGGAGCGGGGCAGGAGGAUCUGUUUUCAUCUUGUUUGGUGAGUCCCAUUUGCUGGAGUCCAACCAAGUUCUGCAGCCGCCUCUGCUGAUGCUCGUGCUCCCGAACUGCACAAAAGCCGUGUCCGUCUCAGCACUGCUUUCCUGUGCUGCACUGCCUAAGAGAAAAGCACUGCUGAGCAUGCAUGGCAUCUGCAUCGGGAGCUGGACCAGGGCAUCGGCACUGGGGUGGCCUCAGCUCUGUCUGCAGGUACAGAUUGCACAGGGUCCUGCCAGCAGCCCAGGGGCACUUGCUCUUCUUCCUGGGCUGUGGAAAGGGAUAUCGGAACCCCAAAAGAUCAAAAUCAGAUUUCUAAAGAGAAAAAAAGGGCUUGGAAGUGGAGUCAAACCCCAAUGUUCAUUUCAGCCAACUCCUACUAGACUUUGGUGGCUGGAGCACUGCAGUGCAUGUUCCUUGCAGAAGCAAGGAGAGAUGAGCCCGGCGUGGGACUGGAAUAGCUGUGAAAUUCUGAGAAGUUUGGAGUCAGCUCCAAAGUUUAUCGCUGACCGCCUCUGCUGCAGCAGCCAAACCAGUGGCUUUGAUGUGAAAUCCCAAACUCUGCAAGCAUCCGAGUCUGAACAUCGAGGGCCGCUUAUGUUGCCAAUAACAGGCGAACUCUGUGUGAGAUCCGAAAUAACAGUGCAACUAGGGGCUGUGGAAAAGGAGAGAGGCUCACGAUGGGACCGAGGUACAGCACUGUCCUUCUCCUGUGCUUCGCUGCAGCGCUGCCUCGCAGCCCCUCGCUCCCACUGACCGAGAUGCGCCGACACGUGGAAGCGGCUGGGAGCAGCCACUGACGUGUGCCACGAACUACACCAUCCUCGCGGUCUUACCUCUGGUACCUGAAGAGCUCCGGGCUGCCAAGGCUGCCAGGGAAGGACCCAGGAGCGACACACUGGGAGCAGACAGAGGUAUUUCCGAGGCACCUGCGUCUGUGAAGAGGUGGGCACCAAUUUUUCCUUCCUAUGCCAUCGGUGAAGAAAGCAGCACGACCACAGGCUGCACGUCAGCAGGCAGGAGCUGACAUGCUCCAAGGAAAACAGUGCCCUGCCUCGGCCGCCGCCGCAGGGUUCCAUAACAGCACCCUCAGAGGCAGGGCGAUAUUUGUUUGAAGGAUCUUCUACCAUUUCUCAUCUCCGUAAACAACAAACCACCAUAAAAAGCUCCAUCACAGGAGAGAAGUCUGCAAUUUUAACCACCUGAGAGGACUCAGCUGCUGUACCGGAGCGCUUUGCAGCGGGCUGGCCGCGGAGGUGACACCCACGCGGUUUAUUUCCAGCUCCCGAGUGGGCAGUCUGGAGACACAUGGAUGUUUUUCCUGCCCGGUGUUUAUGGGGAGAGCCGUGGGGUCAGGCUGGCCCACAGGGAUGCAGCGAGGAUGCUAAGUGAUGGCAGGGAGCAGGAAGAUGCCCUGGAGCAUAUAAGAGGAAAAAACUUCACACUAAACCAAAAAACUUAGAGAUAAAGAAGGCAGCCUCGCAACUCACGGGUUGUGAGCAUCGUCAUCCCUGUGGCACCUCGACAGUGCCUGGGCAUGGGCGCGGCUCACAGCCCCAAACAGCGCGCCAGGAGCCCACUGCAGUGAUGUGGGUCUUGCAGGGACUUGGAAUGCCAAGGCUGUUGUUUUACAGAUUUAUAAAGUGUCUCCAUCCCAGUGCAACUCAUAAGAUGCUUGGCUCAGACUGGCCGAAUCUUUAAAGAUGACAUAAACGCUCCCCGGUAAAUGCAGCUUCCCCUUUGAAACCCGGCUGGUCUCAGGGCACAAACAUCCCGCGCUCGCACACAAUAACUUCCCUGCAACCACUGCCAGGUGCUCACUGGGGUCUGCAGGAGCCGGGCAGCGAGCCCCGAGGCAGAGCUCCAGCUCAGCACCCGAAGGCAGCCGCUCGCAGCAGCCCUGGGUGCGCAGUAGCUGUCAGGGAGAGCAAUGAUGGAUGAGACCGAACCUCUGUGCCAGCUCCGUGGUUUGGGAAUGAACAGCUGCCGUCCCUGUCAGCUUAGCCAGGGAUGCUGGGACCCCAAUGGGUUUUUUAUUUUUUUUCUUACUUGGGAGCCGUGGAUUCACCCCUGUGUUGGGGUCCUCAGGGAGUAACGAGCAUCCCCCGGCUGCCUGCACCAUUCACUGCGAUUCGUGUGGCACCCAUGCAGCAUCGCAUCUGCACCAGGUUAAGUGUGAGCUACAACCCUUCCUUGAUAGUGUGGCAGUUUGUAAACUCUUCCCAUCAGGUGGAAGCUUUUUAGAAGACCCCACCACAAAGGGAACAGUAAGGAAGUGGAAGGGAUGGCUUUUCACUUGAUGCUGAAUACUUGUAUCUUUUAUGUCCAAGAUCUGACCAACAAUUGAAACUUGGAUAUAAAAGGAGGUGGAAAUUUCAGUGGAAAAUGUACCCAAUUUUUACGGUGUGUAAAGUGCCUCUGGUGUAAGCGAACAGCUUGUAUCUGGAGUUCAUCUUCUGGUGUGCGGACUGGAUUUGUCAUGGUAAAGAUCUCCCCCUCCUGUCCGCCCAGACUGUGCGGGACCAGAGCAAACAGCGGAGCCGCUCGCUCAGGGUUCCUGCUUUUGUUCUCCGUCACCCGAGCACAGGUCAGACAGGCUCAGCGCACAGCUUGGGGGCCACUCUGAGCAAAUGAGGGUGACCCUGCCUGGACGCUUGGCUUGCAGGCUGGGCGAGCUGCCUGCCUGCAGACCCUGGGCUGGAUGCUGGCUGUGAGCCCGCGAGGGCAACCAUGCGCCUUGCACGGGCCACCACCAGGACUGCGCUCCACCUCGGGGUGUCCCGCAGGACCCAGGGAUGGGCUCCAGUGGGGUAGAGGAGAACUGUCUUGCAGUGCCAGGAGAAGACUGUGCGCAGCCCUGCCACCCUGUCCAUGCAGAGCAACCCAUGGGUGGAGGAGGACUGAGCUGGGUGGGGAAGGGCGCAGGCAGCACUGGGCACCAGCGGUUGUCCCUGAGCAGUGCUGGGGGUGCCUGAGGACAGCUCUGGAGGAGAAGCCGUCCAGCCGUGGUCUCUGGUGGUGGCAUGCAAAGGGCAGCAGUGAGAGCUGCUCUGGGAGGUGCUGCCGGUGGGCUCAGGUGUUCUGCAGAAAUAAAGUCCCUGCGCAGGCGAGUGCUCACGGGGCUCGUUGGAAGGAAGGACAGAAUUUACUGACGCUAGAGGUGUGGGAAGAGCAGACCUGAGGUCAAGGCUGACGCCCAGAUUUUGACUCUUGAAGCACAGAUCUAAGUUAAGAGCCAGGGCAGACGUUAUGAGCACGAGAAAGCUGAGUCAUUUAUGAACUGUGUGUCUAGACCGUUGUGGGCAAAGUGCAAAUCUCUGGGAGGACAACUCAGAGGACACCACCACUCCAGAAAUGAGUCUGAAGGGGACAAAGGGAUUUUGGAUGUCACCCUGUGAGUCAGUGGCACGGAGCCAGGGCUGGGGAUGGCACCCUGCGGCACAGAAACCAGCCCGGCUCCCCAGCCUCAAAAACCCUUGUGUGGAAAACCCUUUUCUGCCUCUUUUCUGAUCUUUGUCCAGAGGGUCGGCUGUCAGGCACGGAUACCUCAGGGUUGGAGUUGCUGUCUACGAGAUAUCUGCUCAGUCCAUCCCUGGGCAGCCUGCUCGCUCUGCGUGCUUUCCCCGGGUGAGGGAGUGGGUUUGGGAUGCAGGGGCAGCACAAACCGCCGUGAGGCGAUGCACGGGGUCAGGCACCCCAGUGAGGGGGUACGCAGCCGGGUAAGGGGGUACCCAGGCAGCCUGGUGAGGGUGUACACCGCCAGGUAAGGGAGUACACAGGGAGCAGGCAGCCCGACGAGGGCUCUGCAGCUGCAGAGAGGCUGUGCCAGGUUGCAGGGUGAGCAGCUCUGCCUGACUUUUCCAACCAAACAGGUUUUCUGCUCUCACUCCAAAGCCCCCUG